rnacentral:rRNA from 1 species
AGAGUUUGAUCCUGGCUCAGAUUGAACGCUGGCGGUAUGCUUAACACAUGCAAGUCGAACGGUAACGGUCCUUCGGGAGCCGACGAGUGGCGGACGGGUGAGUAACGCGUAGGAAUCUGCCUGGUAGUGGGGGACAACUCGGAGAAAUCCGAGCUAAUACCGCAUACGCCCUGAGGGGGAAAGCGGGGGAUCUUCGGACCUCGCGCUAUCAGAUGAGCCUGCGCUGGAUUAGCUAGUUGGUGGGGUAAGGGCCUACCAAGGCGACGAUCCAUAGCUGGUCUGAGAGGACGAUCAGCCACACUGGGACUGAGACACGGCCCAGACUCCUACGGGAGGCAGCAGUGGGGAAUAUUGGACAAUGGGCGCAAGCCUGAUCCAGCAAUACCGCGUGUGUGAAGAAGGCCUGAGGGUUGUAAAGCACUUUCAAUAGGGAGGAAAAAGCGUUGGUUAAUAGCCGAUGCCUUGACAUUACCUAUAGAAGAAGCACCGGCUAACUCCGUGCCAGCAGCCGCGGUAAUACGGAGGGUGCGAGCGUUAAUCGGAAUUACUGGGCGUAAAGCGUGCGUAGGCGGUUAUUUAAGUCAGAUGUGGAAGCCCCGGGCUUAACCUGGGAACGGCAUUUGAUACUGGGUAACUUGAGUUUAGGAGAGGAGAGUGGAAUUUCCGGUGUAGCGGUGAAAUGCGUAGAGAUCGGAAGGAACACCAGUGGCGAAGGCGGCUCUCUGGCCUAAAACUGACGCUGAGGUACGAAAGCGUGGGUAGCAAACAGGAUUAGAUACCCUGGUAGUCCACGCCGUAAACGAUGUCAACUAGCCGUUGGGUCUUUAUUAAGACUUAGUGGUGCAGCUAACGCAUUAAGUUGACCGCCUGGGGAGUACGGGCCGCAAGGUUAAAACUCAAAUGAAUUGACGGGGGCCCGCACAAGCGG